AAUUAUAUAUAUCCUGCUCAGAUUGAACGCUGGCGGCAGGCCUAACACGAUGCAAGUCGAGCGGUAACAUUUCUAGCUUGCUAGAAGAUGACGAGCGGCGGACGGGUGAGUAAUGCUUGGGAACAUGCCUUUAGGUGGGGGACAACCAUUGGAAACGAUGGCUAAUACCGCAUAAUGUCUACGGACCAAAGGGGGCUUCGGCUCUCGCCUUUAGAUUGGCCCAAGUGGGAUUAGCUAGUUGGUGAGGUAAUGGCUCACCAAGGCGACGAUCCCUAGCUGGUUUGAGAGGAUGAUCAGCCACACUGGAACUGAGACACGGUCCAGACUCCUACGGGAGCGCAGCAGUGGGGAAUAUUGCACAAUGGGUCGCAAGCCUGAUGCAGCCAUGCCGCGUGUGUGAAGAAGGCCUUCGGGUUGUAAAGCACUUUCAGUAAGGAGGAAAGGUUAGUAGUUAAUACCUGCUAGCUGUGACGUUACUUACAGAAGAAGCACCGGCUAACUCCGUGCCAGCAGCCGCGGUAAUCACGGAGUGGUGCGAGCGUUAAUCGGAAUUACUGGGCGUAAAGCGUACGCAGGCGGUUUGUUAAGCGAGAUGUGAAAGCCCCGGGCUCAACCUGGGAACUGCAUUUCGAACUGGCAAACUAGAGUGUGAUAGAGGGUGGUAGAAUUUCAGGUGUAGCGGUGAAAUGCGUAGAGAUCUGAAGGAAUACCGAUGGCGAAGGCAGCCACCUGGGUCAACACUGACGCUCAUGUACGAAAGCGUGGGGAGCAAACGGGAUUAGAUACCCCGGUAGUCCACGCCGUAAACGAUGUCUACUAGGAGUUCGGGUCUUUCGGAACUGUCUUCCAAAGCUAACGCAUUAAGUAGACCGCCUGGAGACCCGACUUGGUGG
rnacentral:rRNA from 1 species